rnacentral:rRNA from 1 species
GAUGAACGCUGGCGACGUGCCUAAUACAUGCAAGUCGAGCGAACGGACGAGAAGCUUGCUUCUCUGAUGUUAGCGGCGGACGGGUGAGUAACACGUGGAUAACCUACCCAUAAGACUGGGAUAACUUCGGGAAACCGGAGCUAAUACCGGAUGAUAUUUUGAACCGCAUGGUUCAAAAGUGAAAGACGGUCUUGCUGUCACUUAUAGAUGGAUCCGCGCUGCAUUAGCUAGUUGGUAAGGUAACGGCUUACCAAGGCAACGAUGCAUAGCCGACCUGAGAGGGUGAUCGGCCACACUGGAACUGAGACACGGUCCAGACUCCUACGGGAGGCAGCAGUAGGGAAUCUUCCGCAAUGGGCGAAAGCCUGACGGAGCAACGCCGCGUGAGUGAUGAAGGUCUUCGGAUCGUAAAACUCUGUUAUUAGGGAAGAACAUAUGUGUAAGUAACUGUGCACAUCUUGACGGUACCUAAUCAGAAAGCCACGGCUAACUACGUG